CCCCUUCCCAGCCCUCAUUUAAGGGUUGGCAGUGGAAGCAAGAGUGUUUUGCUGGAGAUCCCUGUGUGCUUGAGGCCUUCUGAAGGAGUGAAUUCUUGAUCGCUCUCAAAGGGCCUGGAUACCACAGAGCCAUCAAAGGUCCUGAUUGCCCCCAACUCCAACAGGAGCUGCCCUAAAUGUCCACUGGAGGACCUAUGCCAAAACCAGACACGUUUAGAAGGGGAUUACUGCCUAUCCAUCUCUCCAAUUUGCUGAAGUGUCUCCUUGUUCCCAGAUUGCAGUGUCUGGGGUCCUUGGGGGUGCUCGGUGGGAUUUGUUGCGGUGCUUUGCAGCUGCCCUGCUUGGAUGAGGAGAGAUUUCUGCCUCUGUCCCCGUGUCUGCCCAUCAUGGAGGAGGUCCUGCCCUUUCCCAGCCCUGAUGCGAAGCUGCCUGAGCUUGUGCUGCCCUGAGAAUUCGUGCCUUUGCAUAUUUCAUUAAGGCUACUGGUGUCAUGAAAGUAAAAUGCAGCAAAAGGAGAAAGCUGAGUGGAGGGGGCAGAUGUGUAACAAGGCAAAAGGAGAAGCAAAAAGGAGAAAUCAUGUUAUUUUUGGAGUCACUUGUUAUUACAGAUUCCAUCCCAUGAUCAACAGAACCACAAAGGUUGGAAAAAACUAUUAAGAUCCCCAGCUCACCCCACACCAUACCUGCUACCCACAUCCAUCGAUGCCACAUCCCCAUGGCUCUGGAACACCUUCAGGGAUGGUGAUCACUCUCUGGGCAGCUGUGCCACUGCAUUUCCUCUCUUUUGGAGAAGAAAUGGUUCCUAAUAUCUGACCUGAACCUCCAAUGGUGCAACUUGAUGCCAUCACCUCUCAUUCUAUCACUGUUAUCUGCGAGCAGAGGCUGACCCCCACCUCGCUACACCCUCCUUUCAGAUACCUGAGCCCAGCAGAGCACUUUGCUGUCUGAAGCCUCUCCUUGCCACCCAUCAGGGCCAGCACACCUGCUUGCUCAUGGCACAGCUGCCAGUGCAGGACCAGGGACAUUCACCCCAGCACACAUCACUGGAGUUUCCAAAUCCUGUGUCCUUUAGGGGCUGAAGUACAGGAUGAGUCUGCUUGGCUGCAUCUGGAGAAGGAAACAUCACAAGCUAAGUGAUGAACUCCUUUUGUGGUGAAUAACACGAGGAUAGGAAGAGGUUUAUGCAGCAUAGAAGGGGUAAAAAGAAAAAGUCAUUUUCAAUCAGUGGCAGAAGAGUCCUUUCCCAUCUUGUGUUUUUCCAGUAACUAUGUGCAAUUUCUUAGAUGUCAGCCAAGGGAAAGUGGCAGCAUCAGCUCCUCAAAUAAAUACCCUCACCUUGCCCACUGUUAAAACUCAGACGAAUACGUGGAGCUGAACUAAAUGCAUGUGCUGAAUUAGCUUGACAUUAUUUUCACCUCCAGUUCCUGGGCAAGGUGCAGUUUUAUCUCGUUUUUGUUGCUGCAGUUUAGUCAGAAUUCUGGUUUUGAUGAGGAAGGGAAGAAAAAUGAUGUUUAUAGUUUGUUUUAUACAGAGCAGGUCCAGAGAAAAAAGGAAAAAAAAAGAAAAGGAAGAAAUGGAAGAGCUGCCACCAUUUAAUAAGUG
rnacentral:lncRNA from 1 species